GGGGGGACAAGGAGAGAAGAGAAUUCUGGGAAGUGGAAGACUGAGGCAGAGAGACGCUGCCAGCCGCUACCAUGAGAAGAUGUUAAGAUACUGAAACAGCUUCUUCAGACCUCCAACAUAGACUGGAGACCAGCAGCUCUCCAGACCUUUAGUGCCAGAUUGGGACUUCUGAGACAUCUGGCCUCAGUGACUGAGACACUUGGUUUUGUAUGUAUUAGACAGCCCAUGCUGGACUACCCAGACUAUAUCCUAGGUCCCAGAAGAGCCAGACUCAGAGAUGCUGUUCUGUUCCUUGUCCAGAAUUUUCAAAACCCAAAGUGAACACUUGUGAUGAAAUGUCGGCUUUUCACGUCACAGUCAUUCACCAGACUUCUCAAGAUCGAUGCACAUGUCACACCACGUCCUCCAGCACCGAGUGAGUUAACCAUGGUCACAAAGGCAGGCACUGAGAAAGCACAGGAAUAGACAGGCCCUGGUGAUCUGGAGGCAGGGGAGAUUCUGGGAGAAGGGUCUGCCCCAUCAUGUCUGACGCACAGUGCCUGAAGGUCCUAACCCAUACGGAAAUCUGUCCGUUUACUGAAAACAUGUUUUCAUGGGACAAUGGUACUGUUAGUUCAUGGUGAGAAUAGAGGAAUAUGUCAAAGCUCUGAUUUUCUCUCAGCAAAUGCCUGGUGCUGGUGUGGACAAGAGCAACCGUGGCACUGAAUGAAAUCUCUACGGACACAAAUGUCCUCCUGAGGUUCACUCUCACGUCUCUGUACAGAGCGUAGCUAAAAUGGAGCAGUGCGGGAACUCAGCACAGUUCUGAAAAGGUUCGUCAAGACAACCUGUCUGUAAAAGCAAACCACCACUGGAGGAUGUCUGACUUUAGACCAGACCACGCACACAGAGACACAUGGAAGGAGAGGCACUUCAGGCUGCAACAACCAACCCAUCACUCUCCUGUGGAUGCUCCAACCACAGACUCCACGCAGGAAAUUGCCUUAGACUCGACGCAACACGGUCCUGUCUACUGUCAACGUUGCCACUUCAAUGUCACCCAAUUCCUGCCUCAGCAUCUCCGUGUUUAGUUUGUAAAUCAAUACCUGGCCACUUGCAUUGACUUUUUUUUAUUAAGAAA